UUCACUCCACUAGGGGGAGCCGUACCGUAAGGCUGGCUUCGACACUCUCGAAUCAUCUUCAAUGUCCUGGCUAUCAUGCGCUGAAAAUAAGGUGGACUCCUGCGCCGAGCUCUUCUCAAGGACCAGAACCGCUUUACCAUGUUCCUCCAGGCGGACGGUGUUGGCCUCGACAUCCUGCAGUUACAUUCAGGAAGUGGCAGUUGUCCUCUCUUAGGAUGAUGGUGGCAGAACGAGGGGCGUCGUUCACCAAGGCCAACUGCCCAAAGUCAUCUCCCUCAUGGAGUGUGGUCACCAAGCCCUGUGUGACACACAUACACAAGAUCAUCUUUCCUUAAGAGGAACAGUAUGAAUAACCUUCAAACAAUACUGUUCCUGCCUUGGCAUGGCUUUCAAAAACCAGCACUGCUGCCAGCUCCUUCCGAACCUACGGGAAAGAGUGAAGGAUAAAAGAAACGAGGGAUGAAUGAAGAGUUUUGCCGCAAACAAACUUGACGGGUGUCAGCGAGUGUUGACUCACAGAUGUAGAUAAGUGGGCCACAGCUUUGAUGUGCAGAAGUUCUUCGUAAAUAACUUCCAGGUCAUCAGGAGUUCUCUGGUUCGGGCUAAGACGUGGACACACAAAUUAUUACACACAGAAAUCUUAUGCUGUUUAUAAUAGAGAUUAAACGUGAAGUGUGUCUACUAGAAUUCUCCUAUCCCAGCGUAAUAUGUAGAAACAACUAUAACUGUCACAGAAUUUGCCAUGGAAAACUGAAUUAGUUUGGAGUCUGAUAUUAGCAUGUUGCUAAGCUAAUGGACACUUUAUAUAACACUUUAUUUUAAUGGUCCACUUUAGACAUUCUACUAACUAUAACUAGGUAACUUUGCAACUACAUGUCAAAUAACUGUAUAUAACAUGUCAAAUAACACUAUAUUUGAUGGUUCCCCAACAGACAUUUUACUAACUAUAAGUAAGUAGAGUUAAUAGAGUGUCUAAAGUGGACCAUCAA